UACGUAGGGGGCAAGCGGUUGUCCGGAUUUAUUGGGCGUAAAGAGCGUGUAGGCGGCUAGGUAGGUCCGUUGUGAAAACUCGAGGCUCAACCUCGAGACGCCGGUGGAAACCAUCUAGCUAGAGUCCGGAAGAGGAGAGUGGAAUUCCUGGUGUAGCGGUGAAAUGCGCAGAUAUCAGGAAGAACACCAGUAGCGAAGGCGGCUCGCUGGGCCAUUCCUGACGCUGAGACGCGAAAGCUAGGGGGAGCGAAACAGG
rnacentral:rRNA from 1 species